AAAGUAUAACGAUUAUAUGAUUAGUCAAUGAUAAGUUUAAAGCCUUAAAUGAUUCCACACGACCACUCAAAGAGCGUUGGAAACUGAAUCCGUCAUGUAAACUUAUCUCGACUUGCUGCUGAAACAGAGACAUAGUUUGGCUCCCCCACGACUGACCUGUUGACUUUGUGUGGAGAACAACAUGGCGGGUAUAAUCGGCUUCUUGCUCCUUUGCUGGUGUUUCACACUUGGAUUAAGCGACGAAUGUCCGGACGAAGAGUGGAAACGACUUGGAAACAGCUGUUUCUUUUUCAGCGAAGAAUCUCUUUCCUGGGAUAGUGCCGCGUAUUUUUGUCAUAUUAUUCCUGGUGUCGAUGCGAAGCUUGCGUAUAUCCUGUCCGCGACAGAAAAUGCAUUUAUUACGGGAUAGACUGAACACUUACAAUUAUAUCCAUUUUUAUCACAUUGGGAGCCACUGAUGCGGGUCAUGAAGGAAGGUUCGCUUGGGAACAAAAGGACAUGGACUUGAAUGACUACUAUACGAACUGGUCACAUAACGAACCGAACGAUGCGGGUACCGGCGAGGACUGCUCAGAAAUCAGUACAACUAACGGAAAGUGGAACGACAUUCCAUGCUCCGAGGAACAGCGUUUUGUUUGUAGGAUGGAACUCUAGCGCGAGACAGGCGCUUUUCUCUGCUCGUAACACAUUUUAUGACGUCAUUUUUAAGUAACAUAUUUUAAUUUGUUGUGAUAAUGGCGUUAUAUCCUAUGUCCUUUGUUUGUAAACAGAAAAAUAAAACAUCAUAAGUAAACAAA